rnacentral:tRNA from 1 species
GAAAAAUUAGUUAAAAAAUAAUAUUAGUUUGUCAAACUAAAGUUACCAAAGUAUUUUUCU